rnacentral:rRNA from 1 species
UACGUAGGGUGCAAGCGUUAAUCGGAAUUACUGGGCGUAAAGCGUGCGCAGGCGGUUUUGUAAGCCAGAUGUGAAAUCCCCGGGCUUAACCUGGGAAUGGCAUUUGGGACUGCAAGGCUGGAGUGCGGCAGAGGAGACUGGAAUUCCUGGUGUAGCAGUGAAAUGCGUAGAUAUCAGGAAGAACACCCGUGGCGAAGGCGGCCCUCUGGAACGCAACUGACACUGAGACGCGAAAGCGUGGGGAGCAGACAGG